CAGAGGGUGCAAGCGUUGUCCGGAUUUACUGGGCGUAAAGCGUUUCGUAGGCGGCUUUGUAAGUUAUUCUUUAAAGACCGAGGCUCAACCUCGGGAAGGGGAGUAAUACUACAAGGCUUGAAGGAUGUUGGGGUUACUGGAACUUGCGGUGUAGGGGUGAAAUCCGUUGAUAUCGCAAGGAACACCAAGGGCGAAGGCAGGUAACUAGGCAUCUCUUGACGCUGAGGAACGACAGCUAGGGGAGCGAAAUGGAUUAGAGACCCAUGUAGUCCUAGCCGUAAACGAUGCUCGCUAGGGAUGGGGAGGUUAUACUUUCCGUUCCGUAAGUUAACACGUUAAGCGAGCCGCCUGGGGAGUACGAUCGCAAGAUUA
rnacentral:rRNA from 1 species